rnacentral:rRNA from 1 species
UACGGAGGGAGCUAGCGUUGUUCGGAAUUACUGGGCGUAAAGCGCGCGUAGGCGGCUUUGUAAGUUAGAGGUGAAAGCCCGGAGCUCAACUCCGGAACUGCCUUUAAAACUGCAUCGCUUGAAUCCAGGAGAGGUGAGUGGAAUUCCGAGUGUAGAGGUGAAAUUCGUAGAUAUCUGGAGGAACACCGGUGGCGAAGGCGGCAUCCUGGACCAACACUGACGCUGAGUGAGCGAAAGCCAGGGGAGCAAACGGG